CCUGAUGCUANCGGGUUGAUACUAAGCCUGCGAGUCAUUGCAGUAAUGCAAGGCAGACGGCUCAGUAACACGUAGUCAAUCUACCCUAUGGACGGGGAUAACCUCGGGAAACUGAGAAUAAUACCCGAUAGAUCAUUAUGCCUGGAAUGGUUUAUGGUCAAAAUGAUUUAUCGCCAUAGGAUGGGACUGCGGUCUAUCAGCUUGUUGGUGAGGUAAUGGCCCACCAAGGCUAUNACAGAUACGGGCUCUGAGAGGAGAAGCCCGGAGAUGGGUACUGAGACACGGACCCAGGUCCUAUGGGGCGCAGCAGGCGAGAAAACUUUGCAAUGUGCGAAAGCACGACAAGGUUAAUCCGAGUGUUCUCUGCUAAAGAGAUCUUUUGCCGGUCCUAAAAGCACCGGUGAAUAAGGGGUGGGCAAGUUCUGGUGUCAGCCGCCGCGGUAAAACCAGCACCUCAAGUGGUCAGGAGGAUUAUUGGGCCUAAAGCAUCCGUAGCCGGCUGUGUAAGUUCUCGGUUAAAUCUAUGUGCUCAACACAUAGGCUGCCGGGAAUACUGUACAGCUAGGGAGUGGGAGAGGUAGACGGUACUUGGUAGGAAGGGGUAAAAUCCUUUGAUCUAUUGAUGACCACCUGUGGCGAAGGCGGUCUACUAGAACACGUCCGACGGUGAGGGAUGAAAGCUGGGGGAGCAAACCGGAUUAGAUACCCGGGUAGUCCAGCUGUAACAAUGCAACUCAGUGAUGCAUUGGCUUGUGGCCCNUGCANUGCCCCAGGNAACCNUUAAUUUNCCNCNNGGGAGUNCUUCCCCGUUUNAACUUAANGGANUGGCGGGGGGCCCCNAGGGGNGANCNNGGGUUAAUNGNUNCCCCCCCGGNA
rnacentral:rRNA from 1 species